GCCGAACAAGGACCUACGGGCGCCGGCGAUCGCCGGAUCUUUAUGAAAUUAUCUCAACAUCACCCAGAGACAUAGUAUAAUCAAAGCAGGAAGCGAGGCAGGGAUAAACACGAACCGGAUAGGAUACCGAUCAUAGGUGGAACUGACACUGCGACACACACACACCACAACAACAAGCUCCAGCUGAGCAGACGCAGGCACGGUGGCCGGCGAGAGUGGCACCGCGUCGCUCGCUGGCUGCUGACUGGGCACUGGGCCUCGACACGACAACACUUUUAUUUAGCCCACGUCACCGCGCGACCCCGCGCAAAGCACCCCACACCUAGUACGUACUCGUAGUAAAAAGGUAGCACCCCACUCCACUCCACUGGCUGACUGAGCAUCGCGCCGUGCCACGUAGGAGCACACGGCCGCCGCCGCCGUGGACGCGCGCCUCACACGCUCACGGUGGCCUCCUCUGCCGCGGCCGCGGGCGCCUCCUCCGCUGCAGCCGGCGCUUCCUCGGCGACGGCCGCCACCUCCGGCUCGGCGGCAGCGGGUGCCGCCUCCUCCUCCUUCACCUCCUCGGCCGCCGCCGCCGGCUCGGCCUCUGCCACGGCCUCCUUGGUCUCCGUCUCGACCACGGCUGGCGCCUCGGCCACCGGCUCGGCCGCAGCUGCCGGCUCGGGCUCCUUGGCCUCCUCCGUCACGGCGGCGGCCGGCGCCUCCUCCUUGGCCGCCUCGACCUCGACGGGGGCAGGCGCCUCGACCUCGGCCUCCGCCGGCGCGGGGACCUCCUCCGUCUUCGCGGCCUCCUCGGCGGCCACGGGCGUCUCCACCGCCGGCGCCUCCUCCGUCAGCGCGGCCGUCGGGUUCUGGACCUGCACGUUUGCACACUCAAUGCCAUCAGCCCCACGCACAUGCCAGCACGUACACAAACCGAUCAAGCUCGAGCUCGACCACGAUCAUGGGCGUUCGUCAGAUCGCGUAGAUCCAUCGGAACGACCAUCGAUCCGAGAACAUGAAAGAGAACAGACGAUCGAUCGAUCCGAUCGAGGCAAGCUAGCUAUACGUACAUCAGCGGUGGCCAUUGCCGUGGUGGAAGCAAGAAAAUGCCCGGAGCUAGCUGAAGCUAGUGCUACUGUGACCCUGUUGUGUGCCUGUGGCUGAUCCGAUGAGAGAGUGUGAGGCGUGU
rnacentral:lncRNA from 1 species